rnacentral:lncRNA from 1 species
AAAAAGAGGAAAAGCAGAACUACAGGCUCGCCCCAGAGAGAACUGAAUCGGCUGCUGAAGGAGAGGCCUCUGUGCUUCAAGUCCAGGAUCUCAUUAUAGUAAUAACUAGGAACAGGCAGAUUCUAGCUGCACCCAUCCCUCAGCCCAGUGUUAGGAAAAGGCAGUAAAUAACCCUUCAACAUGAACCACUUGAUAAAGCAGUUGCUUCUCAAGUAGAACCACAGGCUUCAGAGAUUUCCGAGCUAGUAUCUUCCACAGACAUAAAAAGAAGCAGAAGAAAUAAGGAGAGUCAAGUCAGGAAUCCUGUGCCAAAGCUCUACCGCUGCUGAGUUAUCCUUUAAUCCUCUGGAAUUCCAUCUAGGAGAACAGCCAGGAAUGUACAGAAGAAAGACACUAAGAUUAUAGCAGGAAAUAAAUAAAUCAUGGGAGAUCUGUGAAUGCAGGGUCUCGAUUAGUUUGUUCUCUCUUUCUCAGCUACCAGCAAGACGACUUUCUUAGGUAAAUAUAACAAAUGUCUGGAAUAAUGUCACUCAAGACUUUGGUGAUUCCAUCCAAAGAAGUUCAGAAGAAAAGAAAUACUAACAGUACAAAACCACCAACAUUUGCAUGUACGAGAAGAAAAAUGGAAGAAUGUUGCAUCUCUUACAGAAACCAGAAAGGAGAACUGGAAGAGUCUGAAUGAAGAGGACAUUGAAAUAAUAGAGGAAAAAGAAAAAAAUUAAAGAUUUAUCCCGAGGAAAAAGAAAUUAAUGUGAAAGGUUCAUAAGUAUAGAAGUUCAGAACUCCCGCCUUUAGAAGGCAGUUUCUCAGAAUCAUUUAACCAACCAAGCUGUAACGGAUCCUUCAAGUUCAAAUUGUGAAGCUAUAAUGAAAUUAUCAGCUCACACAUUUGUAGUUGUAAAAAUGUACAGAUUUAAUAAAGAUGUGGCUGGGGCAGUAUAAAAACAAAUGACUUGACACAAUUUAGUGACCAUGGAGACAGUAAGAAUGAGCUCACAAGCAUAGAUAUCAUCAAAGAAAAGCCAAAGUGGUGUACUUCUUGGAUAUGAUUGCAAGUUAUGCAAGUCUGAACUCAACAUGUCUCAGGACACAGGUUGUGUGAAAGCCAGCAGUUUGAAAUCAGCAAGAAUGAAGAGAACACUAUAUGUUUUGUAAAAUUAGUGGCUAAAAGGAGUUAUCAAAUGGUGACUCAGGAAAUACAGUGUGGGACAGUGUACCAUUUGCUAUUGACAGAAACUAUUUUGUUGUUUUUUUGA